CUUUUGGCCAGUUUGUUAAAGAUUUGUAUAUAUUAAUACAUGUGAACACGUUAACUCGUUUAACAAAUUUUAACUGAAAAUUAUGUAAUGGUAUAAAUUUUCCUACGGCAAAUAAUGUUGAACAUCUUUGGGCCUUUUUGAGAAUAAAUGUGAACAUUCCUCACGCGGAGGCACCAAGAAGCAACAAUGUGAAAAGUGCAUCUUUUUCAACUUUGACAGGUGUUACCAAAAGACUUUCUAAAUCUUCCUUGUUCAUUGUACUCUUGUGGCAAGAUGGCUAGCAAGGGUACCCUUCCUGCAGUCCAUGGAGUAAUUACUUUGCUAAAAAAAAAAAAAAGACUUUCUAAAUCAAUUGCGCCAAUUUCCAUUCUACAAACAAUGCAUUGAGUUGUUCCUUCCCACAAUUUUUUUUGCCAACCCUGGCAUUAUUUGACAUUAAUUUUUUCGUCAUUUUUUAUUGAAGGGCUUUCUCAUGUUUUCCUCUUAAGCAUCUUCCUCAUCUUGUACUGUGUCCACUCAUUUACUGAUUGCUGUUAUCUUAUUGGCAGAGCAGGCUUCUCCUCAUUCACACUUCUUUUUAUGUUUCAGAAGCAUUUUGCCUACUUUCAAAAUUCCAGUUACCACCAGGCCUGGUGGCUCACACCUGCAGUCCCAGCACUUUGGGAAGCUGAAGCCGGUGGAUCACUUGCAAUCAGGAGUUUGAGACAGCCUGGCCAACAUGGAUUGCAGCAUUUUCUUCAAUGGUAGCCGCUUUUCUCAUGGGAGAGGGAUUGUGAUUCAGCUCUUGACUCUUCUAAGUGCUUCAUUCUGGUACGAUUUGCCCUUCCCCUACAGAAAUUCUUUGAAAGUCUUGCCAUGCUGAUACCAUUUCCCUAACUGUAAGUGCUAUUGUCUGCAUUCUGUAUAACCUAUUGAUCGUUUUUAUGCUGAGCUGCCAAAUAAAAUCAACAAUGCCCAGUUACA
rnacentral:lncRNA from 13 species